rnacentral:rRNA from 1 species
UACGAGGGGGGCGAGCGUUGUUCGGAAUUAUUGGGCGUAAAGGGUGCGUAGGCGGUUCCGCAAGUCCUGUGUGAAAUCUUCGGGCUCAACUCGAAGUCUGCACGGGAAACUGCGGGGCUUGAGUGUGGGAGAGGUGAGUGGAAUUCCCGGUGUAGCGGUGAAAUGCGUAGAUAUUGGGAAGAACACCGGUGGCGAAGGCGGCUCACUGGCUCGUAACUGACGCUCAGGCGCGACAGCGUGGGGAUCAAACAGG